AAUUAAACAAAAAGAAGGGAAAGGAGAGAAAAGGACCAGUAAAGCUUGCACGAGAUUUAUAUUUCCAGGAAAUGAGAAGAAAAAAAAAAGGGGCCAAUAUAAAGCUAGCAUUUCUACUGAUUUAUAUCCAGCAAAACUAUACAGAGAAGAGAACGAAGUCAGAAAGAAGUAUUUGAGAAAAACUCAUCGCCUGUGCAACAUGUUCCGGAGAAAUAGCCACAGGAGCAAAUUGAGCCCGUACCUUAAUCUCUGGACAACAAACCCACUUACUCUUUUUCAAGUGGGAAAAAAAAAAAAAAAAAACAAAGAAACUCGCCAGGCCGCGCAAUUUUGUCCCACAUCGACAAAUUAUACUUCGGUGGUGCUAUUUAUAUGAUCAGUUCUACGAGACUCCAUUGCCGAGUCAAGUCACGCUGACUUGUGACCCAAAGUGGGGGCAAUAAGGAUGGCAUGGAAGGGAAGAGUGUGUAACGUCGUCCGCAUGAAAUCGGUGUCAGACGUCAUAUGCGAGGCGCAAAUUUGGCCAGAGAUGCUUUGGGGUUGUGGGGCGAGAUUGUGGGCUUCCAACUCCUGUCGCAGAAUGGAGAGUGAGAGAGGUGGCUUUGCAAAAUGCCGCUUUGCCUGUAAUUAGGUAGAGGUCUUCCGUCGCUGACAACGAAGUAGACGUCUUUGUGUGCAACAAAGAAUGCUGGCUUAUCAGAGCAGCAGAUGGCGCUCCGUUUGUCUGUGCUUGGGUUCCACGUGCCGGCACCCUCUGUUAGGCUCCAGGCCCACUCUCACCCCACCUCCAUCCUUUUGUGCAUCUUCUUUUUACAUAUUUUAUGGUUUUUGUUUUUGGUUGAAUUUACUCUGCUAUCUUAUUUAUUCUAUCCAUUUUUAUUUGGUUUUUGUUAGCCCUAACUCAAUCCCCAAUUUCUUCUUGAUUUCUAGUGUUGGUAACACUAUUUCUGUUAAACUAGAUGAUACAAAUUAUGUCACUUGGAAUUUUCAAAUGGAGCUCUUGCUGCGUGGAAAUAGAAUUCUAGGGUUCAUCAAUGGUUCAUUCAAAUGCCCGCCUCAAUUCUUGGUCACGGAGGAUGGCUCUGUUCUUUUCGACGCAUUCAUGAUUUGGACGAUUCAUGACACAUCACUCAUGACUUUGAUUACUGCGACGUUGUUGCCCUCGGCUAUUUCGUGUGUUAUAGGUUGCUCAACCUCUAACGCCAUGUGGGUCAAUCUUCGUGAACGAUUUGCAAGUGUUACUAGAGCAAGCAUUUUCCAAUUAAAGAUUGAUCUUCAGAAUAUCAAGAAAGGCUCGGAAACUAUUGAUCAAUAUCUUCAGAAAAUCAAGGAUGUUUGUGAUCAGCUUUCUGCUGUUGGCUUUGAAAUUCCGGAUGAUGAUACUGCCAUUUUGGUUCUCAAAGGCUUACCUUCUGAGUAUAAUACGGUCAAGGUUGUGAUUCGAGGUCGUGAUCAUGGUAUUUCUUUGAAAGAUCUUCGAUCUCAAUUGAAGGUCGAGGAGGCCACAAUUGAGGAAUCUACUCACAAUGUUCCAGUCAUGUCUGCUAUGGCUGUCGCGACUUAGAAUUCCUCAUGGGUCUGGUAUGAAUCCUUAUUCUCAUAAUUCUUCCUAUGGAUUUCAAGAUGAAGGCAAAGGGCAAGAUGUUCUAUAAUCAACAUGGCUACUCUAAUGGUUCACGCUUUUAUCCCAAGAAUCAGUCUUAUUCUAAUCCUCCUCAGCAAUUCUCCAAUCUCCUUCUCAGUUUGGUAAUGGUGCUCAAUGUAUUCUUGGUAAGCCUCAUCAACCUUUUUGAAACCGUUAUGGUCCUCCUGUGUUUAUUUGUCGAAUUUGUCAUAAAAAGGGUCAUAUCGCUGCUACUUGUCGUUUUCGAUCUACAAUUCCAUCUCACUCUGAGGCUGAACCAUGUCAAAUUUGUUUGAAAACAAAUCAUACUGCCAUGACAUGUUUCUAUUGAGAAGUGUUCCUUCUAGUUCCUCACACUCUACUCCAAUGACUGCCAUGGCUGCUCAGGCUUGUUCCUCUUCACCUUCCACUGAGGUUUGGAUUGCUGAUACUGGUGCAACCAACCAUAUGACGGCUGAAUUUGGGUAUCUGUCUGCUCCUACUUCAUAUAUUGGUUCUGAGACCAUUACUGCUGCAAAUGGACCAGGACAAGCGAACAGGGAAAAUUCAUUUCAUGGGCCUCAGUCAUAAUGUUCUCUAUCCUAUGCCUCUUCCUUCUUCUGUACAUACUGCCUUCCUAGGCCAAAAGAUUGCAUCCGAGCGUUGGCAUUGCAGACUUGGACAUCCUACCAACUCUGUUUUUCAGCUAGCUUUGGACAAAUCUAGUAUAUCCAGUUCUUUUUCUUCUGCUCCUCAUAUGUGUCAACCUUGCUUGAAGGGCAAGUUUACAAAGCUCCCUUUUGUUUUAGCUAAGUCUAAAUCUCGAAUUCCUUUUGAGACCAUUCAUAGUGAUGUAUGGGGCCCGGCUCCUAGUUCCUCUCUUGAAGGUUUCCGAUAUUAUGUUACUUUCAUUGAUGAGUGUACCAGAUAUACAUGGCUUUAUCCAUUGCGCAAUAAAUCAGAAGUAUUUUCCUAUUUUCAA